rnacentral:rRNA from 1 species
UUUUGUAUAUGUUUGUUUUCCCCCGUCAGAUGAACGCUGGCGGCGUGCCUAAUACAUGCAAGUCGAGCGAACAGACGAGGAGCUUGCUCCUCUGACGUUAGCGGCGGACGGGUGAGUAACACGUGGAUAACCUACCUAUAAGACUGGGAUAACUUCGGGAAACCGGAGCUAAUACCGGAUAACAUGUUGAACCGCAUGGUUCAACAGUGAAAGACGGUCUUGCUGUCACUUAUAGAUGGAUCCGCGCCGCAUUAGCUAGUUGGUAAGGUAACGGCUUACCAAGGCAACGAUGCGUAGCCGACCUGAGAGGGUGAUCGGCCACACUGGAACUGAGACACGGUCCAGACUCCUACGGGAGGCAGCAGUAGGGAAUCUUCCGCAAUGGGCGAAAGCCUGACGGAGCAACGCCGCGUGAGUGAAGAAGGUCUUCGGAUCGUAAAACUCUGUUAUUAGGGAAGAACAAAUGUGUAAGUAACUAUGCACGUCUUGACGGUACCUAAUCAGAAAGCCACGGCUAACUACGUGCCAGCAGCCGCGGUAAUACGUAGGUGGCAAGCGUUAUCCGGAAUUAUUGGGCGUAAAGCGCGCGUAGGCGGUUUUUUAAGUCUGAUGUGAAAGCCCACGGCUCAACCGUGGAGGGUCAUUGGAAACUGGAAAACUUGAGUGCAGAAGAGGAAAGUGGAAUUCCAUGUGUAGCGGUGAAAUGCGCAGAGAUAUGGAGGAACACCAGUGGCGAAGGCGACUUUCUGGUCUGUAACUGACGCUGAUGUGCGAAAGCGUGGGGAUCAAACAGGAUUAGAUACCCUGGUAGUCCACGCCGUAAACGAUGAGUGCUAAGUGUUAGGGGGGUUUCCGCCCCUUAGUGCUGCAGCUAACGCAUUAAGCACUCCGCCCGGGGGAGUACGACCGCAAGGUUGAACUCAGAGAGAU